rnacentral:rRNA from 1 species
CAAGAGCGUAUGUAAAAGUUGUUGCAGUUAAAAAGCUCGUAGUUGAACCUUGGGUUUGGUUGGCCGGUCCGCUUUUUUGCGAGUACUGGAUUCAACCGAGCCUUUCCUUCUGGCUAACCAGUCGUUUCGGCGGCUGGCGAACCAGGAUUUUUACUUUGAGAAAAUUAGAGUGUUCAAAGCAGGCAUUAGCUUGAAUAUAUUAGCAUGGAAUAAUAGAAUAGGACGUUAUGGUUCUAUUUUGUUGGUUUCCAGGACCAUCGUAAUGAUUAAUAGGGACGGUCGGGGGCAUCAGUAUUCAGUUGUCAGAGGUGAAAUUCUUGGAUUUACUGAAGACUAACUACUGCGAAAGCAUUUGCCAAGGACGUUUUCAUUAA